ensembl:lncRNA JPX JPX transcript, XIST activator
GGAAGACUUAAGAUGGCGGCGUUUGCACGGAGUGCAAUCACUGCGUCCUUACGGGGGUUGCAAGGCGUCCGAAGUAUGAGUCCACUAACAAAAGUCCAGAAACUCGCCAGUUAAUAGUAUUGUGUCUCUUCAAAAUAUCGGAGAAUAAUUUCUUUCUCGCUGAUCGCCUAACUUCUACUGACGAAGCUUGGAAGUUGCAGAAGAUGGAGUUCGCUCUUGUUGCCCAGGCUGGAAUGCAAUGGCAUGACCUUGGCUCACUGCAACCUCUGCCUCCCCAGUUCAAGUGGUUCUCCUGCCUCAGCCUCCCGAGUAGCUGAGAUUACAGGUACUGGCUCCUGUAUCACCCAGCUCUGGAGUUGAAAGAGCUCUUCAUUCCUGAGUCUCCUGUACCACUGAGAAUAGAGACGGGGUUUCUCCAUGUUGGUCAGGCUGGUCUCGAACUCCCGACCUCAGGUGAUCCGCCCGCCUCAGCCUCCCAAAGUGCUGGGAUUACAGGCAUGAGCCACCGCGUCCAGCAAGAAUAGGUGAUUUUCAAACUUGGAAACAUUCAGAAGUUAUCGCCUCAGUUUCAGAUUGAGUAGUCUCAAAGAGAUUACAGACAUCUACCACAAAUUCUCUACUUGGUGUGGUGCAAAAUCAGUAUGAUGUAAACUUUGUCUCUCAGUUUCUUCAAAGGAAAGAAGCAACUGGAACACACAUAUAACACUAACCCUUCCAGCUGCAUUAUGAGGGACCAGUACCUGUCUCAAGGCAAAAUUAUGACUUAGUUCAUCCUCACCUCUGGAGGCCAGUAAAAGUGGGUUAUAGAAGAACAAAGAGGCAUCUAGAUCUUUCACUGGGUUAUUUGGAGAGAAACAUCUCCUACCGAAGGCCAGUUUAACAAGACUGGUAGAGGAGGUUAUCUUAUCUAAUUCACAGAAAUCAACACAUUGAGUCAAGAAAAAUGAAACACAGAAACACUCUAAAUAAAAGAAGAUAAGUCUUCAGAAACCAACCCUAAUGAAA